rnacentral:rRNA from 1 species
UGGGGAAUCCUGUGCAAUGGACGAAAGUCUGACACAGCCACGCCGCGUGCGGGAAGAAGGCCUUCGGGUUGUAAAGCUCUUUCGCACGCGACGAUGAUGACGGUAGCGUGAGAAGAAGCCCCGGCUAACUCUGUGCCAGCAGCCGCGGUAAUACAGAGGGGGCAAGCGUUAUUCGGAAUUAUUGGGCGUAAAGGGCGCGUAGGCGGUUUUUUAAGUCAGAUGUGCAAUCCCCGAGCUCAACUUGGGAACUGCAUCUGAGACUGGAAGGCUAGAGUACUGGAGAGGGUGGUGGAAUUCCUCGUGUAGCGGUGAAAUGCGUAGAGAUGAGGAGGAACACCAGUGGCGAAGGCGGCCACCUGGACAGUAACUGACGCUGAGGCGCGAAAGUGUGGGUAGCAAACAGG